ACGUUAAUUGUGUUGUCAUCUUGAGUGAUGAAUUCAAACUAAAAUUUUAGCUGCAUGUAUUGGUCAAUAAAGGCUCAUAAUAAGUUGUUUUACCACUGCUUAACACAUUUGUUGUUGCAAUAAAAACAAACGUUUGUUUCCGGUAUUAAAAAGUAACUUUUUUAAGGCAUAUUCUUUUUUUUUCAUCAACUGUAGGUAUCAACUUUAUUUUAUAACUGAUUAUCAAAAUUUGUAAAGCAUAUUUUCAGCUACAUAACUCCUAACCUAUAAAUAUAUGGUAGCGAUUUUGUAAAAAUUAUGGUAGUGUUGUACCUUGGAGGUAGCUAAUGUUGUGUACCUUGUUAAUACCGCCAAGAAGAGAAGACAAAACUGUGUAUGAGUUGAACAAACCAGACAUGGUCUUUCAGUUGCUACAUCCCCCUAUUCAGCACGGCAGCUGGAAAAACUAUCAUUUAGCGUUAACUUUGAUUACCUAAAUGUAGAGUAGACAAAUGCUGUUACUAUUCCUUUCUUGUUUCUUUCUUUUUUUUUUUUUUUUUUUUUUUGCGUUCUGUUGUGUCUUAAUGUAGUAUUUUUUUUUUUUAGUUUGUGUAUAUAUAUUGUAUAUAUUAUACGAAACAAUACUUUUUUUAAUACUAUUUCAUCAUGUGAUAUGUUUUUAAUUUUCUUUUUUUCUCUCUUUCUCUCACUCUCUUUCAUUUCAAUAUCGUUCAUUCAUUAUAAACACUUUAUACUUUUUGUUGCUUUUUUUGUGUUGUGUUUUUGUUUGUUACGUUUUUUUUUAGUAUCUAAUGAUGAGGUUUUAUAACGGUCAUAAUAUGUUUGCUUGAUUUAAAUCGUUAUUAUUAAAAUUGUCUUAUUUAGUUAUUUUUAUUAUUAUUAUUGUUUUCUAUUGUAUUACUGUUAUUCUAAUGUAAGCUCUUUCAUUGUUAUAAUAUAUAUUGUGUUAUUACA